rnacentral:rRNA from 1 species
UACGUAGGGUGCGAGCGUUGUCCGGAAUUAUUGGGCGUAAAGAGCUUGUAGGCGGUUUGUCGCGUCUGCUGUGAAAUUUCGGGGCUCAACCCCGAACUUGCAGUGGGUACGGGCAGACUAGAGUGCGGUAGGGGAGAUUGGAAUUCCUGGUGUAGCGGUGGAAUGCGCAGAUAUCAGGAGGAACACCGGUGGCGAAGGCGGGUCUCUGGGCAGUAACUGACGCUGAGGAGCGAAAGCGUGGGGAGCGAACAGG